rnacentral:rRNA from 1 species
CCUACGAGAGGCUGCAGUGAGGAAUAUUGGUCAAUGGGCGCGAGCCUGAACCAGCCAAGUAGCGUGAAGGAUGACUGCCCUACGGGUUGUAAACUUCUUUUAUAAAGGAAUAAAGUGAGGCACGUGUGCCUUUUUGUAUGUACUUUAUGAAUAAGGAUCGGCUAACUCCGUGCCAGCAGCCGCGGUAAUACGGAGGAUCCGAGCGUUAUCCGGAUUUAUUGGGUUUAACGGGAGCGUAGAUGGGUUGUUAAGUCAGUUGUGAAAGUUUGCGGCUCAACCGUAAAAUUGCAAUUGAUACUGGCAGUCUUGAGUACAGGUGAGGUAGGCGGAAUUCGUGGGGUAGCGGUGAAAUGCUUAGAUAUCACGAAGAACUCCGAUUGCGAAGGCAGCUUACUAAACUGCCACUGACAUUGAUGCUCGAAAGUGUGGGUAUCAAACAGGAUUAGAUACCCCAGUAGUC